rnacentral:rRNA from 1 species
UAGCGAAGGGGGCUAGCGUUGUUCGGAUUUACUAGGGCGUAAAGCGCACGUAGGCGGACUCUUAAGUCCGGUGGUGAAAUCCGUGGAGCUCAAACUCCAGAACUGCCUUCGAUAACUGGAGAGUCUUGAGUCCGGGAGAGGUGAGUGGAACUGCGAGUGUAGAGGUGAAAGUUCGUAGAUAUUCGGCAAGAACACCAGUGGCGAAGGGCGGCUCAACUGGCCCGGUACGUGAACGGCUGAACGGUUGGCGAAAAGCGA